rnacentral:misc_RNA from 1 species
GGAUGGGAAAAAGUCCGUCCAAGGUUGUCUAGCGCACUAAGCUCCCGCUAUUUGCAGUGUUCGGAGAAGGAGACAUAGAUGAGCAAAAUCUGGAUUACUAAGAUGAGAGUAUCACAACAUUGUAAAUACCUUUCAUCUGUCAAUUUCGCCAUUUAUACUCUUGUGGCGGCCUAAAGGCUUAUGCGUUUGAUGCACUUGCUGUACUGGGGUUCGUGGUCUGGUUGUCGUGUGAUCUGGAAGAAAGCCUCAGCCCAGAUGAUGAGCAUUGGUUCGAAUUAACAUUCAGGGUGUCCAUCGUGUAUUGAGAUCGGACAGCUGAACUAAACAAGGGCUGCAAGAAGCACUUUUUCUCAGCAGUCUCGCGUAAGGAAAUCCGACAAACAGGACAUGUAGAGUGCUGCUGAAACCAUAUGUCGAUGCAUGUGGCGUGGAAGUAGUGUCCACAUAAUGGCAAAAUACGUAAUGUAUCUUCCUCCCGAUACUCAGCAAGGCAAAUCAUGCAUUGAGUAUUUUCUGCAAAUGAAAAAAAUGCAUCACUGUACUUCUUCGUGGGGAACUUCGACACAGCAAGAG